UUUACCACAGAGGCAGCUGAAGUCUAGGCUGAAGAUUCAGUUAGCAAACUACCAGACUCAGGGAAGGAAUCUACUCUACUUUCUCUCUAAUACCGUUGGAGCAACCUGAAGACAGGAACUUGGCCUCAAGGAAACAGGAAUACCUGAGCAUGUUUGGAGGCUGCUGUGUAACAACCAGGCAAACAAGAUAGAUGCAAGGUGUGCAAGAAAGGAUAAGUGAGAGUGCAAGAAAGGAAGGUGGAUGGAGCUUCUGCAUUCUUCAGAGAAUGAAGAAAUGAAGUCAUCAACUACUUUGAAGAGCGUGAGCCACUGCUAUCAGCAUGGACACAAGAGACGGGCAUGAAACGCUAAGGCUGCUGCUGCAGCCACCAAGAACCCUGUGUGCAAGCACAGGUCACUAUCCACACCUCCCCUCCCGGGAGCCUGCGCAGCCCACCAGUGCCAGGAUCCCGUGAUCCAGGGACAACUUCCCCAGGAAAACACACAGCACACCUCAGGCUGUUGCAACGUCACUCCAGCCUCUGCCGCUGCAGGAUCGCCCUGCAUUCCGUACCCCUCCCUCUCUCAGGCCUGAGUGAGCCAGAGCCCCAUAAUCAGCUGCUACUUUAACCCCGUCCUGUCUGAGCAAAGAACAGGUGCCCUCAGGUGACCUACACGCUUAGGCAGGGCCAGAUCCAAAGCUGAACCCCAGGAGCUGUGUGAACAACAAAGAGAAAGGGAAAUCUCCCCCAGCAGCCUCAGAAGCAGCGGAUCAAAUCUCCACAAUCAACAUCUGUGGAAUACCUGAAUACACAACGAAUCAUCGCCAAAUUGAGGCGGUGGACUUCGGGAGCAACGAUAUAUAUAUAUUUUUCCUUUUUCGCUUUUUGUGAGUGUGUAUGUGUAUGAUUCUUUGUGUGAUUUUGCCUGUAUAGCUUUGCUUUUACCAUUUGUCUUAGGGUUCUGCCUGUCCGUUCUUGGGUUUUUAUUUGUUUGUUUGUUUUUUAGUCUAGUUUUUAGCGCUUGUUAUCAUUGGUGGAUUUGUUUUUUGGU